CCUGACACCGCACGCGUUGGGGAGGAGGCGCUUGCCAUGCAAUACCUAUUUAAACUGGGAGAGCUGCGGGAGAGCUGCAGUCAUCUGCUGCGGGUCUUUUAUUACGUGGCAAGUUUAGAAUAACAUUUUCAAAACAUACAACUUCAAACAUCUAAGUCCUCAUGAGAUGAUACAAUACGUGGAUCUCGAGUGCAUCUGUGUGUUUCCCAGAGGCCCGUGCGGGACUCCUGGCCACUGGAUGGUAUGCUCUGCCUUCAGAACGGCUCUUUCCACCGUUCUGAAAUGCCCUCCCUCAUAGACACCUCAGGUGUGCUCUGCUGACUCUAAAUCCAGUCAACUUGUCAAAGAUUAACCAUCAGAGGAGCAGGCUCUUCGGUGGAGACCUUUUGGGAGGAGGCCCAGCCGACCGGAGGAUGGCAGCUGUGUGGCUGCCCUGCAACAAUGGACAGAACCAACUUCUACUUUGUUUGCAAGGCACAGAUCCAAAAGAACAAUGAAUGGUGGGACACGCUCCUUGCCCCGCAAGGAUCUGUGUGUUCUUUGUAACUCCUUUCGAGCAGGGCAGGGCAGGAUGUGUGAGGCGUCAGGAUCGAAUUUCUGCUCCAGCCAUGUUCCUGAAUCCCAACCAGCAGACAGGAAAGAAGACAGGUAGCAACAUAUACCAACAUAUUCAGGAGCAUAUUCCUACGUGUAGGCGUGGCAAAUAUACACAACCAGCUGCGGCGGAACCAUCUUAAGUGUGCUAAAUUUAGCAUGUCCUCUGGACUUAAACAUGUUCACCUUGCUAUGCAAACAUUACCAGCAUCAUAUCUAGAGUCCUUUUUAAUCCUCAUAUAGUGGCUAUUCCUGAUUGUCAACUUGACUAUAUCUGGAAUGAACUACAAUCCAGAAUUGGAGGGUUCACCUGUGAUCCAGAUCUUGAGGCUGGAAGACACAAGUUUCUGACCUGGAUCUUGGUAUGGAGAUCUUGAGGCAUAGUGGCCGUGAAAAGCUUAGGCCCAGACAAAGCAGUACACUCCUUUAAUCCCAGGAGACUGAGGCAUGAAGAUCUCUGAGUUCAAGGUCAGUCUGGGGCAAAGCAAGUUCCAGGUCCAGGUAUGGUGGUACACACCUUUAAUCUUGGUCACAUAAAGACCUGCAUAAAGACAUUGGAAGAAGGAAGAGUUUCUCUUCUUCGCCUGCUUGUCUUGUGGACUGAACAACUACUAGACACUUGGACUUCCAUUCACAGCUGCUGCUGACCAUUGUUGGUGAGUUGGACUACAGAUUGUAAGUCAUCAACAAAUUCCCUUACUAUAUAGAGACUACCCAUAAGUUCUGUGACUCUAGAGAACCCUGACUAACACACCUCUCAAACAGAAACUUCGGUAAACAAUUACUCUCUCUUCAGCCCCUGACAGCUACUCUACCUUCGGUUCUUGGGAAUCUGACUACUCUAAAUCCAUGAAUGGAGUCCUGCCAACAUUUGUCGAUGGCUGGUCCUGUUCAUGGUAGUUCAUGAAUAUCAUGAUAUCGGUCUUCAUUUGUCAUCUGGGCCAGGAUUCCCUUUGCCAAGCUGAGUACUAUUCCAUUGUGUGUGUGUGUGCACUUUCCCAUGCAUUUGCUGGUAGAUGGUUGGGUUGCUUCUUUGCUUUUUGCUUACGUGAAUUGUGCUACAGUGAACACGAACGUACAGAUGCUCUUUGUUCCCCCAGAAGCUUCAUAUUCUCACGUGUAAUGCACAAGGGAGGACAUUUCUCCCCUUCUUACCGACCCUCGUUUUCUGGGUUGUUUUUGUUUGUUUGCUUAAAGAGUAGCCUCACGAUGAGUCUGGAAGGGCACCGCACGGUGGUUCUCAUUUGUACCUCUCUAACAGAGUGUGAUAUGAGCAUUUUGCCCUGUGCCCGUUCAUCACUACUAGUUCAUAUUCCUGGAAAGAUAUCUGUCCGUUCAAUUCACUUGUUCACGGUUUGAUUGAACCGUUCCGUAUGGUGUAGAAUGGACUUUAACUCCUAUCAGAUGGAUAAUUUGUACUGUGCUCUCUUUCCCAUUCUCUGAGUUGUCUUUUCCUUCUAUUGGUAAUACUGUUUGAUACACAGGUUUUUCUCAAUAUAAUUCAAUAGUCUUUCACCUGUCUGCUUUAGCAAGAUGUUCUUCCACCUGGGUGCCCCAGCAAAACAUCAUUUGACAUAACUAACUUUCCAAAGAAGCUAGAAGUUUCCAUUUCACAGGGAUCCUGCCCAGCUCCUCGGGGUGGCUACCUCACAAGCUGUGCGGUUUAGUGUCUUCUGUCUUCUGUGCUUGGAAGACAGUCCUCACCUUUUCUAGCCACUCUCAUCUCAACCAUCACCUCACCUGGGAAGCCUUCCUUGCUCCUCCCCAGGGACUUAAACACGUUUUCUUUUGUUCCUUUGGGCAUUGCCAUCCAAGGACUUUGUUACUCUUUGCUUGUUUGUUUUUGUCUGUCUACUUUCCCAUUAAAGCUUGAGCUCUUUGUGUAUCUCCUUUACCACCCAGGGUUUUCACAACGGACACCUCUCCCUGGGGCUCCAAUGUAGUAUGUUCUGGACUGGGCUCAGGAUUGCAGGCCUUUCUGUGACUCAUCUCAUCAUCUGUGUCAGGAUCAUGCACUCUGAGGAUACAGUUCUAAGAAGGGUUACAGUGUGCAUUCAUCAAACAACCAUUUCUUGGCCCCUCUGAGGAGACAUACAGUAAGCAGGUCUAUUUAUUUAAACGGUAGAUUCCUCUGAGAAUUUAUUCAAACCACACUAUUGGCUGUAGAACAAAAUGCAUGACUGAUCACAUACGAAGGUGUCCGGGUGUCAAUGAUCAAUGAUCAAGUCAGAGGGAAAAACUCUUCACCACAAAUCGUACUUUGAUAUUGGAGUGAGCUGGAUGUAGCCCACAGGGUACCACACCCACCUCACUUCUCUUCACCCUUCUGUCUGCUCCUGGACACCAGCAGAGCCCACAAGCCAUUGGUACCAAGUCUCAUCCUCACUCUGACUCCUGAUGGGAGCUGAAGACUCAUCUUUUCAAUAACUGUAUCCUUCCAGGUUAGGAAAUCGGAAACAUUUCAAUCCUUCAACAUUCUCCUCUUUUCCUUUUCAAUUUUUUUGUUACUGGCACCAAAUAGUUGAUAUGGCGGGUUGUCUAUGAACUCACCAGUGAUAUAAUGACACGGAGGCUUAUUAUCAUUUUAAAGCUUAGGCCUUAGCUUGGGAAAUCUCUCAGCUAGCUCAUCUUAACCCUACUAAUCCCAGCCUAUGUCCUGUCACAUGCCUACAUCCUCCUCUCUGCUCUGCUCUGGUCCACCAGUCCACCCCGAGUCAGCUCGUGAACCUCCUGUGUCUCAGUUCUCCUCUCAGAGUCCCUGUUUCUGCUUGGAAGUCCAACCUUCCACUUCUUGCUCAGCCACUGGCUGUCAGAUUUUUAUUACAUUCAAUAGGCAGGUAAGGAAGCAUGAAUGUUUACACAAUACGAGGCCAGUGAUAGGCCAUAGAUAAAACAGUACAAAGAUCUGGCUAGUACUUAGCUCUCUGCCAGCUUGGCCACCAGUGAUUGGAUAUACAGAGACAACCUUCACACAGUGUACCAAAGGUUACCCCACAGGUUCAUCUUGGUGCUCAGAUGAGAAACCUAGCAAUUAUCCAGGAAUCCUUUCUCCACCACUCUCUAUGUCCCAUGGGAAAUGGGCUCCUUUUAUUUACUUUAAAAAGUAAAGCUAAGGCUCUUGGGGCUGUGGCCUUUGCUCUUAGCACUGUUAUACAGCCAUGUUGGAUGACUCCUGAUUCCUCAAAUAAACUCUUUGUCUUUACACAU
rnacentral:lncRNA from 1 species